rnacentral:rRNA from 1 species
UACGGAGGGGGCUAGCGUUGUUCGGAAUUACUGGGCGUAAAGCGCGCGUAGGCGGACCUGCAAGUCGGGGGUGAAAGCCCGAGGCUCAACCUCGGAACUGCCUUCGAUACUGCGGGUCUCGAGUCCGGGAGAGGUGAGUGGAAUUCCUAGUGUAGAGGUGAAAUUCGUAGAUAUUAGGAAGAACACCAGUGGCGAAGGCGACUUUCUGGUCUGUAACUGACACUGAGGCGCGAAAGCGUGGGGAGCGAACAGG